rnacentral:lncRNA from 1 species
CCGGGGCUCCCAUCUCUUGCUGGGUCUGUUUUCAGGUGCACCCUCCUCCUCCAGGAGGCAGGGGCAAGACCAGCUUCAGCCCUUCUUGCUCUCCAUGGCAGAAGUCCUAGCAGAGUAUGCCCACGCUGGUUAGUGCUGCUGCAAAGAUGAGCCGAAGACCAUGAGAGACCUCCAGGUGGUCCUUCUGGGGAGAAGAAAUGGGUUUUGGCCCCAAAUCCUUCUGCUGCAUUUUUCCCCUAUCCCUGGGAAGCCAUGAGACCUCAAACCUGUGUUCCCAAGGAGGCGAGCUGCUGUUCCCAGGUGAUGAUAUGAUGUGCUUGGGGAAAGUAAGUGGCUGCCAGACAUGGCUGAGAGCUGUUGUCACUGCCGUCAAGUGCAUGUCUCCAAGCCAUAUCACACGGCGUCCCUCGAUGUGAGGCCACAUGGCAAGUGGGCCGUGGAUCUCCCUCUGCCCUUUGCAAGCACGUAAGACAGCAGAUUUUGCAGAUACCUUGUGGCGCAGGGGAAUUUCCUUUGGCCAGGUCUGAAGAAAUAAAGCAGCAGGCACCGAGAACAAAGCCAAGGCUUUCAAAAGACAAGGAG